ACCGAUAGUGAACAAGUACCGUGAGGGAAAGGCGAAAAGAACCCCGGCGAGGGGAGUGAAAGAGAACCUGAAACCGUGUACGUACAAGCAGUGGGAGCCCCACCACUAAGCCAGUGGUGAAUUCCAUAACGCAUCUUUUGUUUGAUGCCGGUUGGCGACGCGCCAGCGCCGCCCAACCGCAAAAUCAAGCAGAGGGGGCUUAGUGGUGGGGUGACUGCGUACCUUUUGUAUAAUGGGUCAGCGACUUAUAUUCUGUAGCAAGGUUAACCGCAUAGGGGAGCCGCAGGGAAACCGAGUCUUAACUGGG
rnacentral:ncRNA from 1 species